CCCAAGGCCAUAUCAAUAUUUACUGCUAACUUUGUAGUUCAUGCAUGAUUAAGUUUUUUGCCUAAAAUCUUUAAUUAAAGAUCCCUUGUUCCCUAGCUAAAAAAGUAUAAUGAAAUUUUUCCCGAAUCAGAGUACCCGAUCAUGACUUCUUGUUUACCGUCGAUUCGGUUCUUAUACCACUCGAUCGAGAAAAGGUGGGCCAUGGCUGCUGGGGCGGCCUCCAGGUCAGCAAGUUUUUUCAAAAAGGGGGACAACACGUAACGGUUGUUUUACAUGGCAUUCGCGUUGAAGAAGUUCCACAGCAAGGACAUCAGAAGGUGAUGUGGCCAUUGAGAUGAUGUAAGCACCGAAACAGUCGGAUGGGAGUUCUGCUAGAACAUUAAAUGUGUCUACAACAUCUUCAACUCCCUCGGUUUUGGGGAGGUCUGAGCCGAAAAGAGGACGUUUUCCACUGAGUUCAGCUAGAAGCCAUUCUUGGCGUUUUUCUUCUGGCCGUUUACGGUAGGAUCCGAUUUCUAAAUGUUGAGUGAUUGCAUCAAGGACAUCCGUGUGGCACUCGGAUUCUUGUCUUAUAUCAAGUUUAACAAGCGAUAGUCCAAAUGUAGACACUUGUCUUAGAAAAUCAAGAAGGCUUCCAUCAGCCAUCACACGGUCUCCACACGCACAUAGUGAUCUGUAGCAUAGCUCCAGUGGUUCCAAGAACUGUGAAAUUUUAUAAAACAAAAUAAUUAUAGAGAGCGUAAAGAAAGUUUUCAUUAGAGGCAAGGCAUUGGGGUAACAAGUCAAAACGGGUAUUUUUGUCCAGAAGUUUUACAGUUUUUAUAAAUAAUAAGUAUCUCAAAUAUGAUUAGGAAUAUUAUAUUUUUUAAUCACUAUAUACUCUCUCUAGAUGGAUUACAAGGUUCUAUGAAAAGGAAUACAUUUUGGACAAUUUUCGACCCAUUUGACCAAAUUUCCUUUUUAGAUUUAUUUUAUUUAAGUAUUUAACCCAUUUGACCUGUUAGAUAUAAAACAUAACCUGACUUGACCCAUUUACAAAUGGGUCAAAACUUUGAUCUCAUGAUUGUUAAGGUAAGAUGCAUAAACUUUAUUUUUAUGCACACACAUUUAUGACUUGCACAUGGAAGAAAUAUGUUAUCAUAGUUUAUGCUAAUUUCUAACUGCAAAUACAUGGAUAUAAACUUCAGCAAACAAACCCGGAAUGUGCUGGCAGAAAGCAUAAAACGCUAUUCAAUCGGGGGAUUGAUGCAGAAUCUAGCAGGACUCUGUUGAUCAAUAUCCUAUAUAAGUGACCUAGUUCCAUCAAAUGUUCAAUUAGAAAUCGAAUAGGCAGCUAAUAAACCACAAUCUUCAUAUAAAUUAAAGUUUAAAGCAAAGUGGACGAACAACACUAAUGAAAUUUAUAUAAGAACGGAAAAAACAAAAAUAUAAAAGUUUUUUUCUAAAUAGUUAUAAACGGGUUAACGGGUCAACCCACGUUUUCGACACUUUCUCAAGAUCUUUUCAUUCAACCGGGCCAGCCAAAACCAGGAAGAAAGAGCAUGCUGCUCAUCACCUCGUACUCGUGGCUAUGCCACAUCGGUUUUUCCGUGCCCGGAAGAGCUAAAAACACUUCUUCCGUCACUUUGUAUUCCAGCCCGAUCAACUGCGCAUCGACAUCGGGCCGGUUGUAGAUCAGACAUUGUCGCAUUUCUUCCGACAGAGUGUAGCCUUAUUGUGAAUACGAGGUGUCUCGAUAUAAAAGGUGUGUCUUGUAAAAGGUGCAAAAUGUAAUGAACUGAGGUUAUCGGGUUUUACCUUGUUGCAGAUUCGACCAAAACAGAGCAUGCAUCUCGAAGUAGGUAACCAGAAUAGUGAAUAUCAAAUCGGUGAAUGAUAUGUGAAGCUUGAAAAGAGUUAUAACUGCUGUUGUUCAUGAGUAGGGGUGCAAACGAUGUGAUUGCAAUUUCAACGUUCAAUUUCCGUUGAAUAUGAAGCGACCCUUCUGAGGAUCCAGAAAGAAACAAAGGCCACCGUAAAAUCCCUUCCUCUCCUCGCCAGUUCUGGAGAUUUAUUGAAAACAUGAAUUGAAACAUGAAUUGAAACUUGAUUGAAGGAGCUGAAUAGAUUAGAAACGGAAGCAUUCAAUAUGUAGGCUGAAAUCCUCUUUUUACGU
rnacentral:lncRNA from 1 species